UAAAAUGAUGCAGAGUUUAGACCACUAAGAUGCCUUUGACACCCUUAAAGAAGGCAGCAUGUUAGGUGCCGAAUCUUUGUGGGCGUUGGUGACUCAUGUUCUAUCCUUCUAGACUUGUUUAUUGAUGGUAGUUACCUGUGUAUAUGUGCCUUGCUUUUUUCUUCGCUUUGUUUAUUGUUUUUUGGUGAUUUGUUGUAUAUCC